rnacentral:sRNA from 1 species
CAUAACUAAAUUUGGUAUUACCGGACGACGUUUCCUUUUUUUCGUUUUUUUUCUUGCAACAUAUGUUGAGAUGAUAAAAACAUUUAAUUUUGAUGUGCUUUUAACCCCAUUUAUACAACUUCUGCCGCAGUUUCUUGACCUUACCUCAUGCCCUAUUUUGCGAACCAGUACGAUAUACAAAAAGCAAUUUUCGUACAACAACACUGUUCAAUCUGGAUAUACAAUUGAGAUGCAAAAACUCCGGAAAUUCAUUCUACAAACUCUUAGAGGAUUAGGUGACAAGCAACAUAAUUUUCUGCUUUUGUAAUCCAUGUUAUGACAUAUUUAAAAAAUGUAUGUGUGAAUAAACAUUUUUGUGGCUACUUU